GAUGAAGAACGCAGCGAAAUGCGAUAAGUAGUGUGAAUUGCAGAAUUCAGUGAAUCAUCGAAUCUUUGAACGCACAUUGCGCCUUCUAGUAUUCUGGGAGGCAUGCCUGUUUGAGCGUCAUUAAACCUCUCUCAAGUAUGAUUACUUGGAUGUGAAGGAAGAGUACCUUAAACUUAAGGAGUGUUCUCCUUUGAAAUUGAUUAGCAGAUGCUAAUGUUAUUAAAUCCCUGAUGUUGUAAGAAAUAACAGUGGUUUUGUAGACUAUUAUCUAGCUUUAAAUUAUAAUUUUUAUUAUGGUUGACCUCAAAUCAGGUAAGGAUACCCGCUGAACUUAAGCAUAUCAAUAAGCGGAGGA
rnacentral:misc_RNA from 1 species